AAUAACUUCAAAGUUAAAACCGCACUGCCUCUUUCCUGUGCGGAUUUCCCUCUCUGAGAUCCCCUCCCGUAACAAUGUGGGAGCUGUUUUUCCUUCUGUAGCAGUGGGAAUAGCUCCUUCCAGUUCCCCUUUCCUUCCCACGGCAGCGUGGGAGCUAUUUCUCUUUCUCUCUCUGCCUGACGAAUCGCUUUCUGGUAAACUCUUUGCAUCUGAUAAUUACUUGACUGUUAACUCACCAGGCCGCCAGGGCCCCUUCCCCAUUCUUGGGGCAAAGAGAGAGGCCAAGAACCUCAGGCACAUCAAAUGGCAGGGAGCUGCGCCCCGAACUGUCCGGACCCAGUUACAGUAACAGAAGGUGCAGCAGAUGUUUGAAGAAGGGAAAUCCUUGACUAGCUGAGUUAGGGUGAAAUCCAGAUUAGGUGGAGGACAUGUUUUCAGCAAAAGACACAGAAUUACUACUAUUAUAGUAAGAGAUACAAACUAAGUGGGUGCAGAAGCAGAGAAAUCAGUGACUUUAUGGUAAGAGGAUUGAGUAAUUCCCAUCUCAUUAUAUCCAUCUCCUAACAAACAGAGCUACCAAUGUUAGGAUUGUAGAUGUGAACUACAAAAAAUAAACUUCCUGGGGAAAACACACAUAGAUCCAUAUCAUAAAACAUUUUUCUUCAUUUUACCUUUUAGUCUGGACCAGAGAGAAUUCUGGGGGCUUUCAGAACACUUCUAUUAUCAUACAAUUUAUAUUGCACUAUAAUUGCCACUUUAUUCAUGGAGAGAAAAUAUAAGUCAUAGUCUCUUCGUUAUCCUACUUAAGACAUUGGCCCUCAAAGAUUUUAGUAUGCAAUAAAUAUGUGAUGAAUGAGAGACUUAAAAAGUUAGAAAAUAACAAACAUAUAUGUCUGUAGCAUUUUGGGCAAAUCGCUGUUUACCCUGCAGCAUCUACAUAAAUUGAUUUGCUUGUGACUCAAAGAUGAAGCACAUGGAAAAAUAUAAGCAGUAUACAUGUUAGGAACUUUGGCAAGUCACUUUACUUCUCUGUGUUUCACUAUAUAUGACAAACUAAAAAA
rnacentral:lncRNA from 1 species